GGUUAUAUUUAAAAUUAAAUUUGUAUCUCUUUAAUAAUAUUAUUAUUAUUUGUAUAUCACUGUAGAAUCUACAAAAUUAUUUUACAAAGAUAAAUUACAAAUAUUUCUAUAUUUAAAGUAUAUGUCAACACAUAUAAAAUUAAAUAUUUUUUUUUGAUAUUUUAAAUUAUGAUAAAUACAAUAUGUUUUAAUAACAUCAAAAUAAAUAGCCAAAAAACAAAUAUUACAUUAAACAAAUUUUAUAAAAAUAAAAAAUUGAAAUUAAAAGAAGAUAGAAACAUAUGAUUUAUAAAAAGAUCAAUUGGUGUCUAUUUUUAGUAGAGUAAUCAUUGUUGGCAAAAAAGGAAAAAAGAAAAAAAAAAGAAAAAAGAAAAGGAAAAAGGAGUUGUUCAUUUAAUAAAACUAAAAUAUCAACAUAUGAUUUAUAACAUUUGACAAUAUUUCUUUUGAGUUCUGCUUUUUGAUCCAAUAGAACGCUUGAUAAAUUUAACCCACUUAUUGAUAGCUGAAUUUUUUAAUCAUUAAUCACACUGCAAAUGCACAAUAAAUCAUAGUAGUAUAUAAGGGAUCAGAUCUACAUAGACCAAGGUUGCACAACAAGUCUCCGAGAAUAGAGUCAAGCUAAGGCGGAAAUAUUGGUAUUUGUUUUCCUAAGGCUAAGAAGAAGUAAAUAUGCAGUAUGUACAAUGUAAUAAAAGCUAAAACUUAUACAC
rnacentral:lncRNA from 1 species